rnacentral:rRNA from 1 species
UACGUAGGGGGCAAGCGUUGUCCGGAUUUAUUGGGCGUAAAGAGCUCGUAGGCGGUUGGGCAAGUCACGUGGGAAAUCUCCACGCUCAACGUGGAGGCGCCACGUGAGACUGCCCUGACUCGAGUCCGGUAGGGGAGCGUGGAAUUCCCGGUGUAGCGGUGAAAUGCGCAGAUAUCGGGAGGAACACCGGUGGCGAAGGCGGUUCUCUGGGCAUCUCCUGACGCUGAGGCGCGAAAGCGUGGGGAGCAAACGGG